CAGUUUGAUACGGUGUUUAAAGGCAUAUUAGCAAAGGUAUAUGGCAAUACCCGUGUGUUUGAAAUCCUUUGCAAAUAUUCCCGAUGGCCCGGAAAAAUUCAAUAGCCCGGCCUUAAGUUACUGUUCAUGUCGGAUUACACAACUGGCGCCCCUCCUCCGAUACGUUUUCUGGCUUUUGAGAUUGAAAUCCCUCUCCCAACAUUGCCCUUGAUUUUUGUAUCCAAAAUUCGUCAAACGAGAAUUUUCACCCCCAAAUUUUUGAAGCUCUCAUUUCCGCCGACCCUCGGUUCUAAUCUAACGAAGAACACUCUCCUGCGCAGAAUCAACACACGAUGGCUCGGAGGUAACAUCUUCAUACGUGCCUCCAACUACUGGCAGGAGUAUACAUCGGAUAUAUGUGUUGAAAGAUGAAGUAGAAGCUGGGACCUCAAUCAUGACUACAACUCGACGCACUACUCGAAAAACUGCUGCCAAAGCCUCUAAUGAAUCAUAGCUCGAUGCUAAGGAAACUCCAUCAGUGGUGGCGCAGGUUAGUAGAAGGAAGGUUCAGAUGGCCUCAGCUUGUCUGAAAAUGGAUUCCGAGCCGAAGGAAUGCGUAGAUGAAGAGAAGAAGGAUUCCUUGAUGACCCCUGCUGCAGCGGGAUUUGCUAGCCAAAGAAGAAGAUUUGAGAAUGAAGGCAGCUAAAGACUGUGGUGAGAGUAUGCGUAGAUUGGAGGAGGAAAGCUUGAGAAAGCUCUCCAAAAUGUUGAAGAAGAAGAAGCUACAGAUCUUGAGCAAGCAGGACAACAAAUAUGCGUGCACCACUGAUUAUGAAAAUUUUGAUGGAAUUGUGAGGGAGAAGAGAGAAAUGAGAGUUUUGAUAUUUCAUCAAUUGUUAUUGUUGUACUUUGUAAGACACACAAGAAUUUCAAAUUUGGAAUACUGAGUUUUAAUAAAUAGCGUUGCAAUUAUAAAAAA